UCUGGCACCUUCGGUGUCCGAGUUGUAAUUUGAAGAAGGUAACUUUGGAGUUGGCUCUUGUCUAUGUUCCUUGGAACAGGACGUCACAGAGGGUGAGAAUCCCGUGCGAUGAGAUGUCCAACUCUAUGUAAAGUGCUUUCGAAGAGUCGAGUUGUUUGGGAAUGCAGCUCUAAGUGGGUGGUAAAUUCCAUCUAAAGCUAAAUAUUGGCGAGAGACCGAUAGCGAACAAGUACAGUGAUGGAAAGAUGAAAAGAACUUUGAAAAGAGAGUGAAAAAGUACGUGAAAUUGUUGAAAGGGAAGGGUUUGAGAUCAGACUUGGUAUUUUGUAUGUCUUGCUUUCGGGUGGGGCCUCUGCAGUUUACUGGGCCAGCAUCGGUUUGGACGGUAGGAUAAUGACAUUGGAAUGUGGCACUACUUCGGUGGUGUGUUAUAGACUUUGUUGAUACUGCCUGUCUAGACCGAGGACUGCGUCUUUGACUAGGAUG
rnacentral:rRNA from 1 species